GAUGAACGCUAGCGGCAGGCCUAACACAUGCAAGUCGAGGGGUAGAGUUAGCUUGCUAACUUGAGACCGGCGCACGGGUGCGUAACGCGUAUGCAAUCUGCCUUGUACUGAGGGAUAGCCCAGAGAAAUUUGGAUUAAUACCUCAUAGUAUUAUGAUGUGGCAUCACAUUAUAAUUAAAGUUCCAACGGUACAAGAUGAGCAUGCGUCCCAUUAGUUAGUUGGUAAGGUAACGGCUUACCAAGACAAUGAUGGGUAGGGGUCCUGAGAGGGAGAUCCCCCACACUGGUACUGAGACACGGACCAGACUCCUACGGGAGGCAGCAGUGAGGAAUAUUGGUCAAUGGGCGCAAGCCUGAACCAGCCAUGCCGCGUGCAGGAUGAAGCAUCUAUGGUGUGUAAACUGCUUUUGUACGGGAAGAAACACUCCUACGUGUAGGAGCUUGACGGUACCGUAAGAAUAAGGAUCGGCUAACUCCGUGCCAGCCGCCGCGGUAAAAC
rnacentral:rRNA from 1 species